GCCCUUCCUACGGGAGGCAGCAGUAGGGAAUCUUCCGCAAUGGACGAAAGUCUGACGGAGCAACGCCGCGUGAGUGAUGAAGGCUUUCGGGUCGUAAAACUCUGUUGUUAGGGAAGAACAAGUGCUAGUUGAAUAAGCUGGCACCUUGACGGUACCUAACCAGAAAGCCACGGCUAACUACGUGCCAGCAGCCGCGGUAAUAAGGGC
rnacentral:rRNA from 1 species